GAAGGGACCUAGCGUAGUUCGGAAUUACUGGGCUUAAAGAGUUCGUAGGUGGUUAAAAAAGUUGGUGGUGAAAUCCCAGAGCUUAACUCUGGAACUGCCAUCAAAACUUUUUAGCUAGAGUAUGAUAGAGGAAAGCAGAAUUUCUAGUGUAGAGGUGAAAUUCGUAGAUAUUAGAAAGAAUACCAAUUGCGAAGGCAGCUUUCUGGAUCAUUACUGACACUGAGGAACGAAAGCAUGGGUAGCGAAGAGGAUUAGAUACCCUCGUAGUCCAUGCCGUAAACGAUGUGUGUUAGACGUUGGAAAUUUAUUUUCAGUGUCGCAGUGAAAACUAUAAACACACCGCCUGGGGAGUACGACCGCAAGGUUAAAACUCAAAUGAAUUGACGGGGACCCGCACAAGUAGUGGAGCAUGUGGUUUAAUUCGAAGAUACGCGCAGAACCUUACCAACACUUGACAUGUUCGUCGCGACUCUAAGAGAUUAGAGUUUUCGGUUCGGCCGGACGAAACACAGGUGCUGCAUGGCUGUCGUCAGCUCGUGUCGUGAGAUGUUGGGUUAAGUCCCGCAACGAGCGCAACCCUUACUUUUAGUUGCCAUCAUUUAGUUGGGCACUCUGAAAGAACUGCCAGUGAUAAGCUGGAGGAAGGUGGGGAUGACGUCAAGUCCUCAUGGCCCUUAUGUGUUGGGCUACACACGUGCUACAAUGGCAUUUACAAUAGGAAGCAAGAUGGCGACAUUAAGCAAAUCCUAAAAAAAUGCCUCAGUUCGGAUUGCACUCUGCAACUCGAGUGCAUGAAGCUGGAAUUACUAGUAAUCGUGGAUCAGCGUGCCACGGUGAAUACGUUCCCGGGUCUU
rnacentral:rRNA from 1 species